GAAAUGCGAUAAGUAGUGUGAAUUGCAGAAUUCAGUGAAUCAUCGAAUCUUUGAACGCACAUUGCGCCCCUUGGUAUUCCAUGGGGCAUGCCUGUUCGAGCGUCAUUUGUACCUUCAAGCUUUGCUUGGUGUUGGGUGUUUGUCUCGCCUCUGCGUGUAGACUCGCCUCAAAACAAUUGGCAGCCGGCGUAUUGAUUUCGGAGCGCAGUACAUCUCGCGCUUUGCACUCAAAACGACGACGUCCAAAAGUACAUUUUUACACUCUUGACCUCGGAUCAGGUAGGGAUACCCGCUGAACUUAAGC
rnacentral:misc_RNA from 1 species